UUUUCUAUAACUCAGUUUUUGUGAAACAAACGCACAAAAAAAUCAUAAAAAUUACUUGCAGUUGUUAAACCAAUGCGUGAACAACCAAAAACAUUCUCUCUAGUUGGAAGAGUUUCUUUUGAACCUCUGCCAAAAAGAGUCACCCUUUUCUUCCCUUUCUUUUGAACUAAACCUUUCUAAGUUUGAUAUUUUCACUUCCGCAAAAGGGCAAUGAGCAUAAUUGACUAGCAUCUCUUUCAAUUCUUUCUCUACCCUAGUAGAACCUUCCCAACGAUGUAUAUCGCACCAUAUGGCCAAGCUUCACUACUAGAUUUCAAACCAAUAUUCUACUCAAACUUUGCAAGCCCAACAUCACACAUCCAGCACAUGUUGGGACUCUUUCCCUCUAAGCAAUACUUGUAAAUGUUUUGGAGGGUAAGAGUUCCCUCUAUCUUUAGUGGAGAACCCUUACAAAGUCGCUCAUAAUUUUGAAAAGUCAUCUCAGAUCCCGAAGUAGGGCUCUCCGUACUGCACAUACUAGAGGACAUCCUCUACCUAAUAGGAAAUGGGAAGUUCUGCUCUAGACAAUGGCAGAUCUUGAUAUACUUAUCCCUUGCCAAAUGCAUGUUGCUCUUUAUGUUGUCCAGCAUUGUGCUACAACCCUUCCAAGCCCAAAAAGGAAACAAACACCUUUUGGUAUCAUUCGCUAGUAGGAAACAAACACCUUAUGUAGAUCUUCUGAAACACAUUUAUAGAAGGUUCCUCAUGUUGCUGGUAGUAAAAGUAUGUAACACCCAAUGCCUGAUCCGCUUGCCGGGUCUAAAUUAUAGGAUGUUAUAUUUCAAAUUAGUCAAUUUAAAUUAUACUCCCAAUAUUAUUACCUGCAAAAAAAAAAAGAGUAAAGACAAAGGACAUAAUUAAUACUGCUACUAAAUAAAUUCAAGACUUAAAUGAAUCUACAUCGUUAAUAAAACUUUAAUUGAAUAUAAAACAAUUUCACCAAGUGAACCUUACUUAUAUAAAAUGGUCACUUAAUAUUUUGACUACCUAGUUUCAAUUACAACAAAGACCCUGAGACUCGUCUCUGGGUUGCCCCAUUGCAUACAAGUUACAAUUAAGAAAUAAAGAUGUUGUUGCACGACGAACUCUGGCUUGGUCCCUUUUCAAACUCUCAAAUUCCUUUUUCUACCUACAAUACAUAAUAACACAUGUGUAAGUUCUAAAAAACUUAGUGAGUUAUCAUACCUUUUUAAAUCACCACACGAUCACGCUUGAGUUUCACUUUGAUUAUUCUAUGACAGGAUAGUUUGCCUAUCUCUUUAGCGUAGUGGCUUACUUGCAUUUAACACCUCACUUUCAAUAACACCGUCACUGGUUUAAUUCCACACUUGGAAGCAGAGAUUUUAUGUGCGGUUUACGAUGCCUAGCACAUAUAUAGCUUCCACUAAUAAUUUCUCAUAAACGCAAUCUCGUUAGCAAUUGGUUUCUUGGACAAUUAAUCAUUGUGGAAUCUUUUGAAAUUAACUUCUUUACGAUAUGAUCUUUUUAAGUACGACCCGUCAUUAGAGCUUACUUUGAUGAAAUUUUAGUGGAUGGACCCUUCUCUUGCAUCACAUUGGUAGACACUGAUGUUUCGUACAGUAUCUCAGACAAUUCAUAAUUUCUAGUAGUAUAUAGGAAUACUCUCAUGCUGUGCCCAACAAGAACCUGGCGGACUGUCAUAUAAAUAAUAUGACUUCCUUAAAGUUUGCCUACGGACUCAUUCUUGGCGAACCAAUAGAAUCAGGUUUGAAUACUCGAACAAUUUCCUCACUUUCAUCAUAUUGAAUCCUGCAACUAUGGUAGAUAAAAAACUAUAAAAACAGAGCCAACAGACUAUCUGUUGGUGCAAGAACAGAAUCAAGCAGACUCAGCAAGUAUCUUGUCGAGCAAGCCUUAAAACUUGCUGAGCAAACAAACAAUUUCGAGUUAAAGAAAGAAGAGAAUAAGCUGGGAAAAUUUGAGAGAAUAUUGAUGAACAAAAGCUGAUUUCAUUCAUAAGUUGAACAAUGGCAUAAUGCCAAUACAUAAACCAAGCAAUUUGCUUGUCAAAAUCUGCAUAAUGAUACCUAAUCAUCACCUACUACCACUAAUACAUUGAAACUUGAAAAACUAAGCUUGCACACUUAAACAAAGCUGACUUAACAGCUUAAUUGUCAUCAAAAUACAUCAAUCAUAAACCUAACAUAGUUCUAAAAGAACUAAAGUACAUUACAUUAACUUAAGAUUACAAGUUGAACAAAAUAGGAAUAGUUCAGCUCGUUCCAGCAGCUCCUGCAUGACUUGGUCUUGAUGGCCUGCAUGCUGUCGAGUUUGCUGCAUGCUGAAUCAACUUCAUCACUCCUCCUUGGUUUGCAUGGAGCAAACACCUAGCAUCUUUCUUAGAUAUUCAAACCUUGUGACACUAAGAGCUUUGGUUAAAAUGUCAGCAAGUUGAUCCUCUGAAUUACAGUGGAUCAGCUUUACUUCCUGAGCUUGCUCCAUUUCUCGAACAACAUGCAACUUGAUGCUGAAAUGUUUUGUUCUUCCAUGGAACACUGGAUUUUUAGCAAUUGCUACUGCAGAUUGAUUGUCACAGAAGAUCUCUGUUGCUUCCAUUUGAUCCAUAUUCAAAUCAGCCAGGAUUUUCCUAAGCCAAAUGGCUUGGUUGACAGCACUUGCUGCUGCCACAUACUCUGCUUCAGCAGUAGAUUGUGCCACCAGACUUUGCUUCUUAGAGCUCCAGCAGAACAUGGCUGAACCAAGUCUAAAAGCAUACCCUGAGGUGCUUUUCAUGUCAUCUAUCGAUCCAGCCCAGUCACUAUCAGUGUACCCAACUAGAUUUAGAUUUCCUUUUCUGCUGUACCUUAAGCCAUAGUCCAAAGUGCCUUUGACAUAUCUGAGCACUCUCUUGGCAGCCUGGAAAUGCUUCUCAUUGCAACAAUGCAAGAACCUUGAGAGCAAUCCUACAGCAUACAUUAUGUCUGGUCUAGUGGCAGUCAAGUAUAGCAAACAACCAACUAGACUCCUGUAGGUAGUUUCACAUACCUUCUCAAAAUCUCCUUGGCUCGAUAGUUUUUCUCCAACAGCAACAGGUGUUUUAGUUGGUUUGCUGUUUUGCAUGGAGAACUUGGUCAGAAUCUUUGUGGCAAAGCUCUUCUGACUUAAAAAUAUCCCAUUCUGUGCUUGAGUCACCUCCAUUCCAAGAAAAUAGGACAUCUCCCCAAGAUCAGACAUUUCAAACACCUCUUGCAUCUUGGUCUUGAAAUUAACCAGCACUGCUUGAUCUCCUCCUGUCACCAGCAGGUCAUCAACAUAUAGGGACACAAUGAGUUGUGUUUGUGUCCCUUGCUUCUUGACAUACAGUGUUGGCUCACUCUUGCUUCGAUUGAAUCCCAGAUCAGUCAAGUAGCCAUCGAUUCUGCUGUACCAGGCCCUUGGAGCCUGUUUUAAGCCAUAUAGGGCCUUCUUCAAUUUGUAGACCAUAUGCUCUCUGCCAGCUAUUUCAAACCCUUGUGGUUGUUCAACAUAGAUAUCUUCAUCUAAGAAACCAUUCAGAAAGGCUGAUUUCACAUCAAGUUGAUGAAUCUUCCAUUCGAGCUGUGCUGCUAAGGCAAUCAGCAGUCUGAUGGUGUCGAGCCUGGCCACUGGUGCAAAGGUCUCCAAGUAGUCCAAGCCAUACCUCUGACUGAACCCCUUGACCACCAGCCUUGCUUUUAACUUGUUCAAGGUACCAUCAGCAUUCUGCUUGGCUUUGUACACCCAUUUCACCCCAAUCACCUUCCUUUUGACUGGCCUUUCAACCAAUUCCCAGGUCUGGUUCUUCUCAAUCAUGCUGAUCUCCUCAGCCAUUGCCUGCUUCCACCCUUGUUGAGCCUCAGCCUCUUCAAAGUUGCUUGGUUCAGCUAUGGCUACAUGAGCCCUUUCAUAAACCUCAGCCAAUGACCUUGUUCCUCUGACUGGUUCAUCAUCAAUAUCCAUUUCAGGGACAUUUUGGUCUGGCUCAGCUUGGUCUACUGCAAGUUCUUCAGAAACUUCUUCAGGUUCAUGUCUUUCCCAGUUCCAACAUGACCUCUCAUCAAAUACCACAUCCCUGCUUAUUGAUACUUUGUUUGUUGAAGGAUCUAAAAUCCUAUAGCCCUUCUUAACAGUGCUAUACCCCACCAAAACACCAGGUCGAGCCCUUUCAGACAAUUUGUCCCUUUUAACAGCAGGUACAUGUGUAUAACAGAUGCAUCCAAAGACCUUCAGAUGAGCCAAUGAUGGCUUGAAGCUAAACCAGGCCUCGAAUGGGGUCUUUUGAUCCAAAGCCUUGGUUGGAAGUCUAUUUUGAAUGUAUGUUGCAGUGUUAACUGCUUCUGCCCAUAGUGCUUUAGGCAGAUUUUUCUGAAUCAUCAAGCACCUGGCCAUAUCCAUCAAACUCCUAUUCUUCCUUUCACUUACCCCAUUCUGCUGAGGUGUAUAUGUGUUGGUAAGUUGAUGUUUGAUGCCUGCCUUAUCACAGAAGGCUUGGAACUGAGCUGAGGUGUACUCAGUCCCAUUAUCAGACCUUAUGGUCUUCAGCUUGCAGCCUGUUUCAGUCUCAGAAGCAGUCUUGAACUUCCAAAACACUGAGGCCACUUCAGAUUUCUGUUUUAAAAAGUAAAUCCAGCAAUAUCUCGAGAAAUCAUCAAUGAACAGUAUGAAAUACCUGUUUCCACUUAAUGACUCAGUCUUCAUAGGGCCACACACAUCAGUAUGCACCAGUUGGAGUUUUUCAGAGGCUCUCCAGGCUUGAUUCGAGGGAAAUGGGAGUCUGGCCUGCUUUCCUAGCUGACAUACAUCACAUACAUCAUCAUGGUCCACUGAGUUGAUGAAAUUUUCAGCCAGGUCCUCUCUGACCAUUCGAGCCAUCGAUCUGAAGUUGGCAUGUCCCAAUCUUUGAUGCCACAGCUUGGAUUCAUCUGAAGUGGCUGUGUAGGCAAUGUCUGACUUUUUUGUCCAGUCAACCACAAAGCUCUUAUCAGCCAUAGGGACUGCCAUCAGUUUGGAUCCACUUGGAUCAUUGAUUUGGCAAUGGUGGUCUUUAAACACAACUGAAUAACCUUUUUCCAGCAACUGAGCUAUGCUAAGCAGGUUUCUGUCAAUUUCAGGCACCAACAGCACAUUUGAAAUCACUUUGGUACCUGUAAGGGUGCAUAUCAGCACAUCACCCUUGCCUUCAGCUUGAAUAAAAUGACCAUUUCCUAUCUUGACUUUAGUUCUGCAGCUUCUGUCUAAAGACUUGAAGAUUGCAGCAUCAGGUGUCAUGUGGUUGGUGCAUCCACUGUCUAGAAGCCAACCAGAUGAGGACCUUUCCUGAGCAGCUGAGCAUGACACAGCAAAGACUUGCUCCUCUUGGUCACUGUCCUCCUUAGCUACUCGAGCCUCAGCUUUCAUCUGUUGAAACUGAUUCUGCCUCGAUUUGGUCUUACUCUUGCAGACUCUCUCAACAUGACCCUUCUUCUUACAAUGCUGACACACAGCAUCUGGAUUGAACCAGCAUUUUUCUUCUGAAUGACCAGCCUUUCUACAGUGCUUGCAAGUCUGACCUUCUCUCCUUGCAGCAUCAUUCUUUGGCUUGUCUCUCCAGGCCUUCUUGCCUUUGUAGGCAGUAUUUGUUCUUGCCUGAAAGGCACCUUCUUGGUGCUCCUCCAGUCUGCUUGCUCUCCUCUGCUCUUGAGCAUAUAGAGCAUUGAUCAACUCUGUCAGGGAGAUGGUGGACAGAUCCCUUGAGUCCUCGAGAGAUGAGAUUUUUGCCUCAUACCUCUCAGGCAGAGUUGCUAUAACCUUCUCCACUAUCCUACCUUCAUUGAACUGCUCUCCAAGGAGCCUGAUGCUGUUAACCACAGCCAUAAUCCUGUCAGAAUAUUGCUUGACAGUUUCUUCUUCCUUCAUCUUCAAAUUCUCGAAAUCUCUCCUCAAGUUUAACAACUGUUGCUGCCUUGUCCUCUCAGUCCCUUGAAACUCUUCCUGCAACUUAUCCCAGGCCUGUUUUGGUGAUUCACAGGCCAUAAUCCUUGUGAAAAUCACAUCAGACACUGAGUUUUGGAUGCAAGACAUAGCUUUGUGCCUCUUGGUCCUUUCAUCAGCAUGCUGCCUGAUCUGAGCCACUGUUGGAUUAGCUCUAAGUGGCUCUGGUUCAACAUCAAAGUUGACCACCUCCCACAGAUCGAAAGCCUGCAGGUAGGUCUUCAUUUUGACCACCCAUAUGUGAUAGCCUUCUCCAUUGAAGACUUGAGGUGCAGCAGGUGUAAAGCUUGAUGAAGCCAUGGAAUUGAGUAACAGAUCCCUUAAGAAAUAGGCUCUAGAUACCAAUUGUUGGUGCAAGAACAGAAUCAAGCAGACUCAGCAAGUAUCUUGUCGAGCAAGCCUUAAAACUUGCUGAGCAAACAAACAAUUUCGAGUUAAAGAAAGAAGAGAAUAAGCUGGGAAAAUUUGAGAGAAUAUUGAUGAACAAAAGCUGAUUUCAUUCAUAAGUUGAACAAUGGCAUAAUGCCAAUACAUAAACCAAGCAAUUUGCUUGUCAAAAUCUGCAUAAUGAUACCUAAUCAUCACCUACUACCACUAAUACAUUGAAACUUGAAAAACUAAGCUUGCACACUUAAACAAAGCUGACUUAACAGCUUAAUUGUCAUCAAAAUACAUCAAUCAUAAACCUAACAUAGUUCUAAAAGAACUAAAGUACAUUACAUUAACUUAAGAUUACAAGUUGAACAAAAUAGGAAUAGUUCAGCUCGUUCCAGCAGCUCCUGCAUGACUUGGUCUUGAUGGCCUGCAUGCUGUCGAGUUUGCUGCAUGCUGAAUCAACUUCAUCACUAUCAGAACUUGUAUCCGCCUCACUUUAUCUUCUGGUAUAGGCACAACGACCUUCAUAUAAUAAUAUGUCACAUUUUUGUAGACUCAUACAAAUAAGUGUGUUGUAGAAUCAUAUUUGCAAGAUAGUUCUGGUAGACUUUCCUCAUAACAAUAGUCUUAGUGGACUUUCCCCAUGUUAGAUAGUCCCCACGGACUUCCACAUUUAAGAGUUUCCUAGCAGACUUCCACAUUUUAGAUCAUCUUGACAGACUUUCGCAUUUAAGAUUAUCCUGAUGGAUUUCCACAUUUAAGAUCAUCUUGGCGGGCUUCUACAUUUUAGAUUGUCUUAACAAACUUCCACAUUUACAGUAAUGCCAUGGCCAUGGACUUCUAUUUGUCUCAUAAAUGGCUCACAUAUACGUCCCUCAAGGGGCUCUCAAACGUCUUAUAAAGGGAUCUUAUACGUCCCACACAAGGAGCUCUCAUAUAUGAGUGAGCACCAAGUCUAUGUAUCAUCUAAUCUCUUUUCUCGACUUAGUCCAACCAAAACUCCCUUAAAGCCAUAUAAAUAUAAUACAUAUGCACUCCGGUGUAUGACCAUCCGAACCUCCUUAAAGCCACAUAAAUAUCAUGCAUAACAUAUACAACAUUCCAUCAACAGAUAUUGUCUGUCACAGGACAUAUAAUACGCCAAUCAUACCAUUAUGCAAUAUAAUCAUAUUUACUACCAAUCAUUCAAAUCAAUUUAGUACACAAAAAAGUUAUCACGCCAAGUCUUUCACUUACUUAGCAUAACUAACGCACAACUAUAUAAUCACAUAUCAUUAUGUAACAUAUACCUGGUAUAGGAUUUUGUGCAAGUAUACAUGGCAGUUCAAGUGAUAAAGUGUGACAGCCCUAAUUUGACCCUAGUCGGAAAGUGGUUUCGGGACCACAAAAACCGAGUCGUAAAAAUAAUUAACCGUCAUAUUUGAUGCUUAUUAUAUGUAUAUAUGCAUGUGUGAAAAUUUCAUGUUUGAAUUUUGUUAAUUGUAAGUGAAUUUUAUUAAAUAGGACUUAUAUGAGAAAAUUUAGAAAUGUGCUAGACAAAGGUAAAAGUGAUCUAAUAGUGCAUGAUGUCAAAAAAAAUGUACUUGCAUGUCAAAUUAGCCAAAUUUUAGAUAGUGG
rnacentral:lncRNA from 1 species